rnacentral:lncRNA from 12 species
AGGCCGCAGCAUCCCUCCCCAGGCCUCUCCGGGCAGGAACCAGCCAUUGUUUGGCAGCGGUGCCGAAGCCCAGAAUAUUAACAUCUUUCUCAGGUUGAUCUCCUCCUUCCCCCCCCCUCGCCCCACCCCCAUCCUGCUCAUUUGAAAUCCCUGCAAUUCGGGGGAGAAAGUUACUUUAAUCCUCUGGUUCCUAUCAGCCUAAUUACAGUUUCAAUAGACAAACGGGCCUGGCUCUAAAUGAGAUCGGAGGACACAGGAACACAUUAUGUUGGCGCUAAUAAUGAUCUGUCUUUGUUUUAUCAUUUCAUGUUGUUGCUUCUCAUUUUGGCUGCCUGAAUUCUUAAUGCCUUCGAGUGUCUCGCGGAGAUUGCUUCCUCUUGCUGCCAGGCCGGGACACAGUUGCAGACUUGCAUAUGAAAACACCCAGCCUGGUGCCUGCAGCUAACAAGCCAGCCACCAUUUAAAUUUCAAUCAGCCCUUCUGUUUGUGUGUAAGUUCUUUGGAUGGUUGAAAUUAGCAAUUUUGAAAAAUUGAUUAAAAUUGCUGGUUUCAUGAAGCCUCAAAACAUCAAAAUCAAUCUUUCUUUUUUUUUUUUUUUAAACACACCGAAAUUCUUGUUGGACUUACCAUGUCUGCAGUAUGGGAAACUGCCAAGUGUGCCGGGGAUGCGGUGGAGAAGGCUUGUUGCCACGUAGCCUGGGGGCAAGACACACAUGGCCUCUCCCUGCACAGCCUGGCUGUCACCAGCACCAGGAGAGGAAGGACCGUGGAGCCCGCACCUGCAAAGUCACCCUAGAAGUCUCUGGAGCAAGGAACAAGACAGAGGCUGGGCAGAAGGCUUCAUCUCUUGGGGCACAGGUGAGUCUAGACCCUUCUCUCUGGCUGGAUUGGGGGUGGUUCAGACUCUUCCCAGCUACGAGG